rnacentral:ncRNA from 1 species
ACUCAAUUACUACUUAAUGUAUACAUGCAAGUCUCUUCACCCCUGUGAGAACGCCCUUAAACCCCUGAUAGGGGCAAGGAGCUGGUAUCAGGCACAAUAAUUAGCCCAAAACACCUAGCUACGCCACACCCCCAAGGGAACUCAGCAGUAAUCAAUAUUGAACAUAAGCGCCAGCUUGAUUCAGUUAAAGUAAAAAGGGCCGGCAAAUCUGGUGCCAGCCGCCGCGGUUACACCAUAUGACCCAAAUUGACCUCAACACGGCGUAAAGCGUGAUUAAAGUUCUCUCACAUUGUAGCUAAACCACUAAUGAGCUGUGACACGCCUUUAGCUAGGAAGCCCAAAAACGAAAGUUGCUACAUAUAAACCAACUUGAACUCACAACAGCUAGGACACAAACUAGGAUUAGAUACCCUACUAUGCCUAUCUAUAAACUCUUAACUUACACUUAAUAUCGCCUGGGAACUACGAGCAAAGCUUAAAACCCAAAGGACUUGACGGUACCCCAAAUCCCCCUAGAGGAGCCUGUCCUUUAAUCGAUAAUCCCCGUUCAACCUCGCCAUUUUUAGCCAAUCAGUCUGUAUACCUCCGUCGUCAGCUUACCACGUGAGCGUCUCAAAGUAAGCCCAAUGUUCAUACACAUCAAUACGUCAGGUCAAGGUGCAACUAAUAAAAUGGGAAGAGAUGGGCUACACUCUCUAAGAUAGAACACACGAAAAACUAACUGAAAACUAGUUUAAAGGCGGAUUUAGAAGUAAAAAAGAACUAGAGAGUUUUUUUUAACCCGGCACUGGGGUGUGUACACACCGCCCGUCACCCUCUUUGAAGCCCCCCCACCCAGUAUUUAACAAACUAAUGCACAGUAGAA